rnacentral:rRNA from 2 species
AAAUUGAAGAGUUUGAUCAUGGCUCAGAUUGAACGCUGGCGGCAGGCCUAACACAUGCAAGUCGAACGGUAGCACAGAGAGCUUGCUCUCGGGUGACGAGUGGCGGACGGGUGAGUAAUGUCUGGGAAACUGCCUGAUGGAGGGGGAUAACUACUGGAAACGGUGGCUAAUACCGCAUAACGUCGCAAGACCAAAGAGGGGGACCUUCGGGCCUCUUGCCAUCAGAUGUGCCCAGAUGGGAUUAGCUGGUUGGUGAGGUAACGGCUCACCAAGGCGACGAUCCCUAGCUGGUCUGAGAGGAUGACCAGCCACACUGGAACUGAGACACGGUCCAGACUCC